rnacentral:sRNA from 1 species
CGGAGCUGCGGGAGGAUGGAGCCGCUGAAGGUGGAAAAGUUCGCAACCGCCAACAGGGGAAACGGGCUGCGCGCCGUGACCCCGCUGCGCCCCGGAGAGCUGCUCUUCCGCUCGGAUCCCUUGGCGUACACGGUGUGCAAGGGCAGUCGUGGCGUGGUCUGCGACCGCUGCCUUCUCGGGAAGGAAAAGCUGAUGCGAUGCUCUCAGUGCCGCGUCGCCAAAUACUGUAGUGCUAAGUGUCAGAAAAAAGCUUGGCCAGACCACAAGCGGGAAUGCAAAUGCCUUAAAAGCUGCAAGCCCAGAUAUCCUCCAGACUCCGUUCGACUUCUUGGCAGAGUUGUCUUCAAACUUAUGGAUGGAGCACCUUCAGAAUCAGAGAAGCUUUACUCAUUUUAUGAUCUGGAGUCAAAUAUUAACAAACUGACUGAAGAUAAGAAAGAGGGCCUCAGGCAACUCGUAAUGACAUUUCAACAUUUCAUGAGAGAAGAAAUACAGGAUGCCUCUCAGCUGCCACCUGCCUUUGACCUUUUUGAAGCCUUUGCAAAAGUAAGUGUUAAGUUUGCUCUUUGCUAAUUCCAUACAUCAACCAUUUGCUCCUUAUUUUGUCGUUGGUUACAAAAAUGUCGAGAAUCUUGACAGGAAAUUCAAGACCCUUAAUGCCUUAUAUUACUUCCUUAUCAUAGUGAGUAGAGCAUGAGAGAAUAUAUUGUGUGCAUUGAGAAGGGUAUGAAUUUUUCUGUUUGAUUAAUAUUCUUGUUAUUGCCUGAGUAUGUUCAUUGUCAAUUCUCAAAGUGUACCCUUGGAAGAAAGAGUAUGCUUUCUUUUCUCAGAAGAAAAUAGCAUAUCCCAUUAUUUUUUGUGAAUGGACUUGUUUGCCAUUGCAUUGCAUUCAUUGAGUUUUAUGGUGGUUGUUUAAGCAUAGAGCCUGUCUUUGAAAUGAAAAAUUUAUUGAAAUCCAUUUCUUUUCUUUUCUUUUUUGUUUU